rnacentral:rRNA from 1 species
CGCGCGGUUCUAUUUUGUUGGUUUAUAGGACCGCCGUAAUGAUUAAUAGGGACAGUCGGGGGCAUCAGUAUUCAAAUGUCAGAGGUGAAAUUCUUGGAUCAUUUGAAGACUAACUACUGCGAAAGCAUUUGCCAAGGAUGUUUUCAUUAAUCAGGAACGAAAGUUAGGGGAUCGAAGACGAUCAGAUACCGUCGUAGUCUUAACCAUAAACUAUGCCGACUAGGGAUCGGACGGUGUUAUCAAUGACCCGUUCGGCACCUUACGAGAAAUCAAAGUGCUUGGGCUCCAGGGGGAGUAUGGUCGCAAGGCUGAAACUUAAAGAAAUUGACGGAAGGGCACCACCAGGGGUGGAGCCUGCGGCUUAAUUUGACUCAACACGGGGAAACUCAC